AGAAGCAACGCGAAGAACCUCCCCAGGUCUUGACAUCUUUUGAUCACCUUAGAGAUCAGAUUUCCCCUUCGGGGGCAAAAUGACAGGUGGUGCAUGGUUGUCGUCAGCUCGUGUCGUGAGAUGAUGGGUUAAGUACCGCAACGAGCGCAACCCCCAUUAUUAGUUGCCAGCAUCUAGUAGGGCACUCUAGUAAGACUGCCGGUGGCAACCCGGAGGAGGGAGGGGAGGACGUCAAAUCAUCAUCCCCCUCAUGACCUGGGGUACACACGUGGUACAACGGAUGGUACAACGAGUAGUGAGGACGUGAGGUCAAUAUAAUAUUUUAAAACCACUCUCAGCUCGGACGGUAGGAGGCAACUCGCCUCCACGAAGUAGGAAUCGCUAGUAAUCGCGGAUCAGCACCCCGCGGUGAAUACGUUCCCGGGCCUUGUACACCCCGCCCGUCGCUCCAUGAGAGUUUGUAACACCCGAAGAACGGUGGCGUGACCCUUU
rnacentral:rRNA from 1 species